GUGCAAUGGCAAAAGUGUGCUUGACUGCGAGACAGACACGUCGAGCAGGUACGAAAGUAGGUCAUAGUGAUCCGGUGGUUCUGUAUGGAAGGGCCAUCGCUCAACGGAUAAAAGGUACUCCGGGGAUAACAGGCUGAUGAUGCCCAAGAGUCCAUAUCGACGGCAUCGUUUGGCACCUCGAUGUCGGCUCA
rnacentral:rRNA from 13 species